UACGUAGGGUGCAAGCGUUAAUCGGAAUUAUUGGGCGUAAAGCGUGCGCAGGCGGUGAUGUAAGACAGAUGUGAAAUCCCCGGGCUCAACCUGGGAACUGCAUUGUGACUGCAUCGCUGGAGUGCGGCAGAGGGGGAUGGAAUUCCGCGUGUAGCAGUGAAAUGCGUAGAUAUGCGGAGGAACACCGAUGGCGAAGGCAAUCCCCUGGGCCUGCACUGACGCUCAUGCACGAAAGCGUGGGGAGCAAACAGG
rnacentral:rRNA from 1 species